GACGAACGCUGGCGGCGUGCUUAACACAUGCAAGUCGAACGGAAAGGCCCUGCUUUUGUGGGGUGCUCGAGUGGCGAACGGGUGAGUAACACGUGAGUAACCUGCCCUUGACUUUGGGAUAACUUCAGGAAACUGGGGCUAAUACCGGAUAGGAGCUCCUGCUGCAUGGUGGGGGUUGGAAAGUUUCGGCGGUUGGGGAUGGACUCGCGGCUUAUCAGCUUGUUGGUGGGGUAGUGGCUUACCAAGGCUUUGACGGGUAGCCGGCCUGAGAGGGUGACCGGGCACAUGGGGACUGAGAUACGGCGCAGACUCCUACGGGAGGCAGCAGUGGGGAAUAUUGCACAAUGGGCGGAAGCCUGAUGCAGCAACGCCGCGUGCGGGAUGACGGCCUUCGGGUUGUAAACCGCUUUCGCCUGUGACGAAGCGUGAGUGACGGUAAUGGGUAAAGAAGCACCGGCUAACUACGUG
rnacentral:rRNA from 1 species